GACGAACGCUGGCGGCGUGCUUAACACAUGCAAGUCGAACGGAAAGGCCCUGCUUUUGUGGGGUGCUCGAGUGGCGAACGGGUGAGUAACACGUGAGUAACCUGCCCUUGACUUUGGGAUAACUUCAGGAAACUGGGGCUAAUACCGGAUAGGAGCUCCUGCUGCAUGGUGGGGGUUGGAAAGUUUCGGCGGUUGGGGAUGGACUCGCGGCUUAUCAGCUUGUUGGUGGGGUAGUGGCUUACCAAGGCUUUGACGGGUAGCCGGCCUGAGAGGGUGACCGGCCACAUUGGGACUGAGAUACGGCCCAGACUCCUACGGGAGGCAGAAGUGGGGAAUAUUGCACAGUGGGCGGAAGCCUGAUGCAGCAACGCCGCGUGCGGGAUGACGGCCUUCGGGGUGUAAACCGCUUUCGCCUGUGACGAAGCGUGAGUGACGGUAAUGGGUAAAGAAGCACCGGCUAACUACGUG
rnacentral:rRNA from 1 species